CAGUUGAAAAUGCAGAAAUCACCUGUCUUCUGUGUCACUCAUGCUGGAAGCUGGAGGCUGGAGCUGUUCCUAUUCGGCCAUCUUUUUGAUAGACAUUUUUAGGGGUAAAACAAGGAGAAAACGCCAAUUGAUUUCUAUUUAAAAGCAAAAAAAUCUCAGUGCCACCAGGACAAGAACAGAUUCACAGGCUGUUUCGAAAUAGAAGUACACAGCUGAGCACAAGCCUUCUAAUGAAGUAAUGGACCUUGACAAAGAUCAUCAGCCCUGAUACUAUCACAAAGAGACCAACCAGGUAAUGUAAUGUGGUUUUCCUGGUAUAAUUCGUAUAAUCAUCUAUGAAAGAUUCUUUUUUAUUUUAUUUCCAACUUCUGUUUUAAGUUCUGGAGUACAUG